rnacentral:rRNA from 1 species
UGGGGAAUUUUGCACAAUGGGGGAAACCCUGAUGCAGCGACGCCGCGUGAUUUAGAAGGCCUUCGGGUUGUAAAAAUCUUUUCUAUGGGAAGAAAAUGACAGUACCAUAGGAAUAAGGACCGGCUAAUUACGUGCCAGCAGCCGCGGUAAUACGUAAGGUCCGAGCGUUGUCCGGAAUCAUUGGGCGUAAAGGGUACGUAGGCGGGUAAGCAAGUUAGAAGUGAAAUCCUAUAGCUCAACUAUAGUAAGCUUUUAAAACUGCUCAUCUUGAGGUAUGGAAGGGAAAGUGGAAUUCCUAGUGUAGCGGUGAAAUGCGCAGAUAUUAGGAGGAAUACCGGUGGCGAAGGCGACUUUCUGGCCAUAACCUGACGCUGAGGUACGAAAGCGUGGGUAGCAAACGGG